AUCAUCCCAAAUGGAUAGCUGACCACGUUCUGUUCCCAGCCCAUGUACCUGGCACUUCAUACCCGACACUUCAUGGAACCCUUUCAACCACACUAGGAGGUAGUGUAUUAUCUUCAUCUUACAGACCACCCUUGGCCAGUAAGAUGAUGAAGAGAAGCACACUGGGACACUGGUGGUCCCCAGGCAGCCAGCUUCACCCAGUGUAGGAAGCUCCCAUACAGAGUUUUGGAAGAACUGAUAAAGGCUGUUCUGUCUCUUGCCCUAAUCAUCUUAUCCUCAGGGCAAUCACCUUAAGCUCUUUCUUUUCCCCCAAAUGAGAGUUCUCCCUGCAAGUUCUUUAAAAAUGCCAUGUGCAUGGAUGGAAA